rnacentral:rRNA from 1 species
UGGGGAAUAUUGGGCAAUGGGCGAAAGCCUGACCCAGCGACGCCGCGUGGGUGAUGAAGGCCUUCGGGUUGUAAAGCCCUGUCAUGCGGAAAGAACGACCCUGAGACGCAUACUCUCAGGGAGUGACGGUACCGCAGGAGGAAGCACCGGCUAACUCCGUGCCAGCAGCCGCGGUAAUACGGAGGGUGCAAGCGUUGUUCGGAAUUAUUGGGCGUAAAGGGCGCGUAGGCGGUAAUGUAAGUCAGAUGUGAAAUACUCCGGCUCAACGAGAGAACAGCAUCGGAAGCUGGAUAACUAGAGUACAGAAGAGGGAAACGGAAUUCCCGGUGUAGGGGUGAGAUUCGUAGAUAUCGGGAGGAACACCAGGGGCGAAGGCGGUUUCCUGGUCUGAUACUGACGCUGAGGCGCGAAAGCGUGGGGAG